GAUGAACGCUGGCGGCGUGCUUAACACAUGCAAGUCGAGCGAACAGACGAGGAGCUUGCUCCUUUGACGUUAGCGGCGGACGGGUGAGUAACACGUAGGUAACCUACCUAUAAGACUGGGAUAACUUCGGGAAACCGGAGCUAAUACCGGAGAAUAUUUCGAACAGCAUGGUUCGAUAGUGAAAGAUGGCUUUGCUAUCACUUAUAGACGGACCUGCGCCGUAUUAGCUAGUUGGUAAGGUAACGGCUUACCAAGGCAACGAUACGUAGCCGACCUGAGAGGGUGAUCGGCCACACUGGAACUGAGACACGGUCCAGACUCCUACGGGAGGCAGCAGUAGGGAAUCUUCCGCAAUGGGCGCAAGCCUGACGGAGCAACGCCGCGUGAGUGAUGAAGGUCUUCGGAUCGUAAAACUCUGUUAUUAGGGAAGAACAAACGUGUAAGUAACUGUGCACGUCUUGACGGUACCUAAUCAGAAAGCCACGGCUAACUACGUGCCAGCAGCCGCGGUAA
rnacentral:rRNA from 1 species